rnacentral:rRNA from 1 species
GAUGAACGCUGGCGGCGUGCCUAAUACAUGCAAGUCGAGCGAACAGACGAGGAGCUUGCUCCUCUGACGUUAGCGGCGGACGGGUGAGUAACACGUGGAUAACCUACCUAUAAGACUGGGAUAACUUCGGGAAACCGGAGCUAAUACCGGAUAAUAUAUUGAACCGCAUGGUUCAAUAGUGAAAGACGGUUUUGCUGUCACUUAUAGAUGGAUCCGCGCCGCAUUAGCUAGUUGGUAAGGUAACGGCUUACCAAGGCAACGAUGCGUAGCCGACCUGAGAGGGUGAUCAGCCACACUAGAACUGAGACACGGUCCAGACUCCUACGGGAGGCAGCAGUAGGGAAUCUUCCGCAAAGGGCGAAAGCCUGACGGAGCAACGCCGCGUGAGUGAUGAAGGUCUUCGGAUCGUAAAACUCUGUUAUUAGGGAAGAACAAAUGUGUAAGUAACUAUGCACGUCUUGACGGUACCUAAUCAGAAAGCCACGGCUAACUACGUG